rnacentral:tmRNA from 1 species
GAUCUUGAAAUUUUAAUUUUUUCUGCUAUACUUAAAGAUGUCGGAUUUAUCUGACUAUGAUGCUAAACGCUUUGUGAAAUAGGCGUCGUGGACCCGGGGGCAGUGCCCGGCGGCUCCACCAUAAGCUGAGAGGCUAUAGUGGGGGGACAAUCGCCCCAGCGACUCAAUGCUCCCCACCUAUACCUCUCAUCUUACGAUGGGGCCGAAACAGGAUCGACACGCGUAAUAAAGAUAGAGUCUGUAUCCGUUUGAGGUACGGUCGUAUCCGUCCGAAUCAUAUAAAUGCAAAUGAUAAUGCAAAAACCGUAGUUGCCGCCAAUGACAACGUAUUCGUUGCCGUUGAGGAAAAAGCCGCUGCUUAAUUGCGCCGGUGAAACUACAUAAUUCCCCUUGCAUCAGCGAGGGGUGGGGCGCGGGGCGGCCUAGCAACAGAACCGCCCCGAUU